rnacentral:rRNA from 1 species
UACGAAGGGGGCGAGCGUUGCUCGGAAUCACUGGGCGUAAAGGGCGCGUAGGCGGCCGAUUAAGUCGGGGGUGAAAGCCUGUGGCUCAACCACAGAAUUGCCUUCGAUACUGGUUGGCUUGAGACCGGAAGAGGACAGCGGAACUGCGAGUGUAGAGGUGAAAUUCGUAGAUAUUCGCAAGAACACCAGUGGCGAAGGCGGCUGUCUGGUCCGGUUCUGACGCUGAGGCGCGAAAAGCGUGGGGAGCAAACAGG